UGUUGUUUUGUACCUUUCUCACCUUAUCGUUAAUUUUUUAUGGUUGGUGACCAUUUGGCAGUCUAGGAUAAAAUAUUUUAUGUUAUAAGAUGACGAAAUAAAGGUGGGAUGUCCAGUAGGGAAAUAUGACGAGAAGUAUACUGCGAUAUUAAAUCUAGAUCGCUUUUAGCAUUGUGCAGACUGAGCGACGUAAUCAAAAUUUGACCAAUCACUAAACACCCAUGUUCUUUAACUUUCUCAUUAGUGUGACAUUUAUUAACGAUAUUGCAUCGUAUAUAUAGUUUAAUAACGAAUUGUAUUCAAAAAGAUAGACGGUUUAAUCCGAAUCAGUUGUCACAAUGUCUCUCUGCUGUGUGGUUUUAUUGUGCCUUGUGUCUUCUCUUAUCCCGACCUCAGGGUCACAUUCUGGAUUCAGGCCCAACGUCAUACCAGUUUACCGUAGGAUUUCGUCGUCCAAAUUAGCCAGUUUAUUUCCCAGUUAUCUAAAGAAAAUGGUCAGGCGGAACCCCAUUAGCAGGCCCCGCCCACCGUUUUUGUUUUCUUCCUCUGACAAGAUUCCAAUGGUCGUUAAAAAUGGAUCUAAGAGUCCCAUUAUUUCCAAAAACUUUUUGAAUCGAGGUUGUCCUGUCCUUCGAUGUCCGGAUUUGAGAGUUCGUUCCAGGUGCAAGGUGCCCGUUCUAUUCCGAUACAACGGAAGACUGUGUCGAGGAUGCAACAGAAAUGUCUGCUCGAACAACACAUGGAGGAAUUAACAGUAAAUACAACAAAGUACGUGUCUUGGAAAAAUAUAUACAGACAUACAUGCAGCC